rnacentral:rRNA from 1 species
AAAUUGAAGAGUUUGAUCAUGGCUCAGAUUGAACGCUGGCGGCAGGCCUAACACAUGCAAGUCGAGCGGUAGCACAGAGAGCUUGCUCUCGGGUGACGAGCGGCGGACGGGUGAGUAAUGUCUGGGAAACUGCCUGAUGGAGGGGGAUAACUACUGGAAACGGUAGCUAAUACCGCAUAACGUCGCAAGACCAAAGUGGGGGACCUUCGGGCCUCAUGCCAUCAGAUGUGCCCAGAUGGGAUUAGCUAGUAGGUGGGGUAAUGGCUCACCUAGGCGACGAUCCCUAGCUGGUCUGAGAGGAUGACCAGCCACACUGGAACUGAGACACGGUCCAGACUCCUACGGGAGGCAGCAGUGGGGAAUAUUGCACAAUGGGCGCAAGCCUGAUGCAGCCAUGCCGCGUGUGUGAAGAAGGCCUUCGGGUUGUAAAGCACUUUCAGCGGGGAGGAAGGCGGUAAGGUUAAUAACCUUGUCGAUUGACGUUACCCGCAGAAGAAGCACCGGCUAACUCCGUGCCAGCAGCCGCGGUAAUACGGAGGGUGCAAGCGUUAAUCGGAAUUACUGGGCGUAAAGCGCACGCAGGCGGUCUGUCAAGUCGGAUGUGAAAUCCCCGGGCUCAACCUGGGAACUGCAUUCGAAACUGGCAGGCUAGAGUCUUGUAGAGGGGGGUAGAAUUCCAGGUGUAGCGGUGAAAUGCGUAGAGAUCUGGAGGAAUACCGGUGGCGAAGGCGGCCCCCUGGACAAAGACUGACGCUCAGGUGCGAAAGCGUGGGGAGCAAACAGGAUUAGAUACCCUGGUAGUCCACGCCGUAAACGAUGUCGAUUUGGAGGUUGUGCCCUUGAGGCGUGGCUUCCGGAGCUAACGCGUUAAAUCGACCGCCUGGGGAGUACGGCCGCAAGGUUAAAACUCAAAUGAAUUGACGGGGGCCCGCACAAGCGGUGGAGCAUGUGGUUUAAUUCGAUGCAACGCGAAGAACCUUACCUGGUCUUGACAUCCACAGAACUUUCCAGAGAUGGAUUGGUGCCUUCGGGAACUGUGAGACAGGUGCUGCAUGGCUGUCGUCAGCUCGUGUUGUGAAAUGUUGGGUUAAGUCCCGCAACGAGCGCAACCCUUAUCCUUUGUUGCCAGCGGUCCGGCCGGGAACUCAAAGGAGACUGCCAGUGAUAAACUGGAGGAAGGUGGGGAUGACGUCAAGUCAUCAUGGCCCUUACGACCAGGGCUACACACGUGCUACAAUGGCAUAUACAAAGAGAAGCGACCUCGCGAGAGCAAGCGGACCUCAUAAAGUAUGUCGUAGUCCGGAUUGGAGUCUGCAACUCGACUCCAUGAAGUCGGAAUCGCUAGUAAUCGUAGAUCAGAAUGCUACGGUGAAUACGUUCCCGGGCCUUGUACACACCGCCCGUCACACCAUGGGAGUGGGUUGCAAAAGAAGUAGGUAGCUUAACCUUCGGGAGGGCGCUUACCACUUUGUGAUUCAUGACUGGGGUGAAGUCGUAACAAGGUAACCGUAGGGGAACCUGCGGUUGGAUCACCUCCUUA